rnacentral:rRNA from 1 species
GAUGAACGCUGGCGGCGUGCCUAAUACAUGCAAGUCGAGCGAACAGACGAGGAGCUUGCUCCUCUGACGUUAGCGGCGGACGGGUGAGUAACACGUGGAUAACCUACCUAUAAGACUGGGGUAACUUCGGGAAACCGGAGCUAAUACCGGAUAAUAUAUUGAACCGCAUGGUUCAAUAGUGAAAGACGGUUUUGCUGUCACUUAUAGAUGGAUCCGCGCCGCAUUAGCUAGUUGGUAGGUAACGGCUUACCAAGGCAACGAUGCGUAGCCGACCUGAGAGGGUGAUCGGCCACACUGGAACUGAGACACGGUCCAGACUCCUACGGGAGGCAGCAGUAGGGAAUCUUCCGCAAUGGGCGAAAGCCUGACGGAGCAACGCCGCGUGAGUGAUGAAGGUCUUCGGAUCGUAAAACUCUGUUAUUAGGGAAGAACAAAUGUGUAAGUAACUAUGCACGUCUUGACGGUACCUAAUCAGAAAGCCACGGCUAACUACGUG